rnacentral:rRNA from 1 species
UACGAAGGGGGCUAGCGUUGCUCGGAAUUACUGGGCGUAAAGCGCACGUAGGCGGCCAUGAUAGUCAGAUGUGAAAGGCCUGGGCUUAACCCGGGAACUGCAUUUAAUACUGCAUGGCUAGAGUCCAAGAGAGGGUAGUGGAAUUCCCAGUGUAGAGGUGAAAUUCGUAGAUAUUGGGAAGAACACCAGUGGCGAAGGCGGCUACCUGGCUUGGAACUGACGCUCAGGUGCGAAAGCGUGGGGAGCGAACAGG